UACGUAGGGUGCAAGCGUUAUCCGGAAUUAUUGGGCGUAAAGAGCUCGUAGGCGGUUUGUCGCGUCUGCUGUGAAAACUGGAGGCUCAACCUCCAGCCUGCAGUGGGUACGGGCAAACUAGAGUGCGGUAGGGGAGAUUGGAAUUCCUGGUGUAGCGGUGGAAUGCGUAGAGAUCGGGAAGAACAUCAGUGGCGAAGGCGGCCUGCUGGGCUGUUGCUGACGCUGAGGAGCGAAAGCGUGGGGAGCGAACAGG
rnacentral:rRNA from 1 species